AGCGAACGCUGGCGGCAGGCCUAACACAUGCAAGUCGAACGAACUCUUCGGAGUUAGUGGCGGACGGGUGAGUAACACGUGGGAACGUGCCUUUAGGUUCGGAAUAACUCAGGGAAACUUGUGCUAAUACCGAAUGUGCCCUUCGGGGGAAAGAUUUAUCGCCUUUAGAGCGGCCCGCGUCUGAUUAGCUAGUUGGUGAGGUAAAGGCUCACCAAGGCGACGAUCAGUAGCUGGUCUGAGAGGAUGAUCAGCCACAUUGGGACUGAGACACGGCCCAAACUCCUACGGGAGGCAGCAGUGGGGAAUCUUGCGCAAUGGGCGAAAGCCUGACGAAGCCAUGCCGCGUGAAUGAUGAAGGUCUUAGGAUUGUAAAAUUCUUUCACCGGGGACGAUAAUGACGGUACCCGGAGAAGAAGCACCGGCUAACUUCGUG
rnacentral:rRNA from 1 species